rnacentral:rRNA from 1 species
UACGUAGGGUGCAAGCGUUACUCGGAAUUACUGGGCGUAAAGCGUGCGCAGGCGGUUUUGUAAGUCAGAUGUGAAAUCCCCGGGCUUAACCUGGGAACUGCGUUUGAAACUACAAGGCUAGAGUGUGGCAGAGGGGGGUGGAAUUCCACGUGUAGCAGUGAAAUGCGUAGGGAUGUGGAGGAACACCGAUGGCGAAGGCAGCCUCCUGGGCCAGCACUGACGCUCAUGCACGAAAGCGUGGGGAGCAAACAGG